rnacentral:rRNA from 1 species
AGUGAACGCUGGCGGCGUGCUUAACACAUGCAAGUCGAACGAGAACGGAUUAUAGCUUGCUAUAAUUGUCAGCUAAGUGGCGCACGGGUGAGUAAUAUAUAGAUAACCUGCCCUCUAGAAAGGAAUAACAGUUGGAAACGACUGCUAAUGCCCUAUAUGCCUUUAAUACAUAAGUAUGCAAGGGAAACGCUUUAGUGCUAGAGGAUGGGUCUGUAUGGUAUCAGCUUGUUGGUGAGGUAAUGGCUCACCAAGGCUAUGACGCCUAACUGGUUUGAGAGGAUGAUCAGUCACACUGGAAACUGGAGACACGGUCCAGACUCCUACGGGAGGCAGCAGUGGGGAAUAUUGCACAAAUGGACGAAAAGUCUGAUGCAGC